rnacentral:rRNA from 1 species
GACGAACGCUGGCGGCAUGCCUAACACAUGCAAGUCGAGCGAGCAGAUCCCUUCGGGGUGAAGCUAGCGGCGGACGGGUGAGUAACACGUGGGCAACCUGCCUCAUAGAGGGGAAUAGCCUUCCGAAAGGAAGAUUAAUACCGCAUAAGAUUGUAGCUUCGCAUGAAGCAGCAAUUAAAGGAGCAAUCCGCUAUGAGAUGGGCCCGCGGCGCAUUAGCUAGUUGGUGAGGUAACGGCUCUCCAAGGCGACGAUGUGUAGCCGACCUGAGAGGGUGAUCGGCCACAUUGGGACUGAGACACGGCCCAGACUCCUACGGGAGGCAGCAGUGGGGAAUAUUGCACAAUGGGGGAAACCCUGAUGCAGCAAUGCCGCGUGAGUGAUGACGGCCUUCGGGUUGUAAAGCUCUGUCUUCGGGGACGAUAAUGACGGUACCCGAGGAGGAAGCCACGGCUAACUACGUGCCAGCAGCCGCCGCAGUAA